rnacentral:rRNA from 2 species
AGACCCGAAACCCGGUGAUCUAGCCAUGGGCAGGUUGAAGGUUGGGUAACACUAACUGGAGGACCGAACCGACUAAUGUUGAAAAAUUAGCGGAUGACCUGUGGCUGGGGGUGAAAGGCCAAUCAAACCGGGAGAUAGCUGGUUCUCCCCGAAAGCUAUUUAGGUAGCGCCUCGUGAAUUCAUCUCCGGGGGUAGAGCACUGUUUCGGCUAGGGGGCCAUCCCGGCUUACCAACCCGAUGCAAACUGCGAAUACCGGAGAAUGUUAUCACGGGAGACACACGGCGGGUGCUAACGUCCGUCGUGAAGAGGGAAACAACCCAGACCGCCAGCUAAGGUCCCAAAGUCAUGGUUAAGUGGGAAACGAUGUGGGAAGGCCCAGACAGCCAGGAUGUUGGCUUAGAAGCAGCCAUCAUUUAAAGAAAGCGUAAUAGCUCACUGGUCGAGUCGGCCUGCGCGGAAGAUGUAACGGGGCUAAACCAUGCACCGAAGCUGCGGCAGCGACGCUGAUGCGUUGUUGGGUAGGGGAGCGUUCUGUAAGCCUGCGAAGGUGUGCUGUGAGGC